rnacentral:rRNA from 1 species
GAUGAACGCUGGCGGCGUGCUUAACACAUGCAAGUCGAACGAGAAGUGAAGACGGAAACCUUCGGGCGGAAGGCUUUAUUUCGAGUGGCGGACGGGUGAGUAACGCGUGGGUAACCUGCCUCAUACAGGGGGAUAACAGUUGGAAACGACUGUUAAUACCGCAUAAGACCACAGCACCGCAUGGUGCGGGGUAAAAACUCCGGUGGUAUGGGAUGGAACCGCGUUCGAUUAGCCAGUUGGCGGGGUAACGGCCCACCAAAGCGACGAUCGAUAGCCGAUCUGAGAGGAUGACCGGCCACAUUGGGACUGAGACACGGCCCAAACUCCUACGGGAGGCAGCAGUGGGGAAUAUUGCACAAUGGGGGAAACCCUGAUGCAGCGACGCCGCGUGAGUGAAGAAGUAUUUCGGUAUGUAAAGCUCUAUCAGCAGGGAAGAAAAUGACGGUACCUGAGUAAGAAGCCCCGGCUAACUACGUG